UGUGUCAACUUUAAAUUUUAAAGGGUAACAUACAUAUUUCACUAACUUAAAAAAUUAAAAGUUAAAAAAAUGAUUGGUUGAUGACAACUUUUAACACAUCUAAGAAAUUAUAACUAUUUUUAAAUAUAUUGUGGAGGUAAAGUGUAGAUUAUGUUAUUUUACUUUUAAACAUUCCUCUGCCACUCUUUUCCUCCGCUAUAUAUUCUCUAAAAUGAAUUUUCUUUAUAUAAUUAUUAUUUUAAGAAAAAUCGAGUGACUAAUAUUAAAAGAAUCACCUUGUAUACAACAGUUUUAUAACUUUUCAUAACUUCUUCGUAAAAAUUACAACACUAAAUUAAUAAAUAUAAAUUUGUUACUAUAUUUAAUUACUAUGAUAAAUAUUUAUUCAUAUAUUACAUUUAUAAAUCAUAAACUUUUGAUCAGGAUAUAGAUAAAGAAAUUGGAGUUCGUGUUGCUUUAGGAAUAAUUCAAUCAUUCUUUCUAAAAUUAUAUACUAGAGAUUUGAAUCAAAACAAUUGUUAUGAUAAUGAUUUUAAUCACUACCAAAUAUCAUCUGUAAUUGUACCAACUAUGCCACUAUGUCCACUGUGGUUCGACUCCGCUGUGCUGGCUAUUAUUUUUGUUAGAAAUUGAUAAAUGUACAGCAAAAACAUUGCUGAUAAUGUAGAAUAGCGAAAUUGAAAUGUUAGAUGUAAGAGAAUUAAACGAAAACUUGAGUAAUUGGCGCAGGGGUAAGACAAGCCGAAUGACAAGAACAACAAGGCGGAAAGAGAUUUGUUGUCUACUACAAGGGAUGCUGUAACACUGUUUACCCCACUACCUUCGCAAUCAUUUCAAAGGAAAUUGAAAUUGUCAAUUCGUCUAAAGUCGGUGGCGAUGCAUUAAUUUGGUGUCGUCCGGGAUUUUAAACGGUUCCCCUCUCCGACCCAACUGAAUUGAAAUCGACUUAUAUACCCUAUAAACAUGCAACAACAAAUUUAUAAUCCCUACAAGCAAUACAGAAUCUAUACAUUGUGUGCGCUCAGUUGUGUGUUUGCAUGUACCCCUAUUAUAAGUAUUAUGAUCACCUCUCUCAUUUUGGACCCUUUAUCCGUUUGUGUAUGCUGAUUGUUUUUCAAAAUCCGUUUAAAACUUCUUUUUGUACUUUUAAAUUUUUAGAUGAGUCACCUUCACUAUGGUAACUAUAUAAAUAUAUCACGGAUAUACUAACGCGGUCAGUAUACAAUACAAUGUUAUUACACGGUUUUCAAGUUUUAAAGUUUAUAUGGAUUUUACAGCAAACACACAAAAGGAACAAUUUAAAAGCUAUAACAUUCUUUUUGCAUUAUUAUGUGUAAAGACUACAUUAUGUUCAUUUCAUAAUAACAAUUAUAUUAAAAUGAAAUGUUGAGUUGUUUCGAAUA